AAGUGAUUUUGUAAUUAGAAUGUUUUGACAUAUUGUUCUGCUCUUUAAUUUGUUGUGAAGUAGGUUCUGAGUUUUGGUUUUUGUGUUGGAGUAGUAAGGCUUUUAUUUUGAAGGUCAAGGUGGGUCUGGGACAGGAAGUCAGCCAUUUUAUUGGGAUUGUUUUGCUCAGUCACACAUGAGGAGGUGAAUCUAUCACAAUCCGCCUUUUGUUUAUGCCAUCGACAUCACCGUCUUUUACUCCAUGUCAUACGAGUACUUGGGUCAC